rnacentral:pre_miRNA from 1 species
UGAGUAUUCUAUCAGGAGUCGAAAAAUGCGUUAAGUUAACUAACGUUUCGUCUCUUGAUGGUUUACUUAAU